rfam:Triticum aestivum genome assembly, contig: Triticum_aestivum_CS42_TGACv1_scaffold_031561_1BL
AGGCAACCUCUUUGUCUAAUUACAAUGUCUAUGGAGGUAUUGCAUUGCUAGGAGAUUAAAUCUUCUGCUCUUCAGAUUAGCCGAGGGAGGUGCUUGCUGAUAUAAUGGAAAAUCUUUAUUAGCUUAAGAGCAAU